UGCAAGCAUUUUUCCUAAACUAAGCUGUGUUUAAAACCUUUGGUCAUGGCAAAUGUGCCUUCUCUGUCUGUGGCAGCCUGGCAGCCACUUGAUGAGCUAUGAGCUUGGUGAGUUAUUAGGUGGACAGAGAGAGGCCAGGGUGCUCACAGAAAUGAUGAGCUGCUCUCACCAGCAGUCUUUUGUGCCUUUGGGUUGUGCUACAGCCCUCUCACAGCCACUGUUCGGGCACUGCUUGCCCCCUACCCACUCUCCAUAGAGUUUUGUACUUCCCAGGAUGUUUCUCUGCCCAGUCUAUGGAUCAGUAACAUUCCGUCCCAUAUUUCCCCACAAACUGCUUGCCAUCUUAUGAGUUGUGAGCUACUGGCGCACAGUAAUUUAUGCAAGGACUACUUCUAAGAGCACCCAGAGCAAUUUGGGAAACAACCUGCUAAAAUCAAGAUCCUAAAUAUACAACACCAGUUGUCCGGAAAGAUAUAACAGUUCCAGCCUCACUGAUAUUCUCACAGUGCAAUUAAUCCUACUUAAUUAACUUCGGACAAGCCUUGGCGUGAAAGGUUGUUUCUUGAAUUACAGUAUCACUCAGGCAAUUUAUUGAACUGCAACAGGACACAAAGACUUAGAUUGCUUCUGGCUUCCCAAGGCAAGGUUUAUCAUGUGCUAGGAAAUUUAAGUCCUAAUUCCCACUUUUUCUAUAUUCCAGAUUUUCAAAAGUGUUGUGUCUGGUUUGAGCUGAGCUCUGACACUUGAUAGCCUGCAGUAACAGCUUCUAAUUAGUGCCACUCGCUCCUGAACAAAACAGUGAGAGCAGGGUACAUGGGUGGUCAUUCUGGAAUGCUUCACAGCACAUGCACAGCCAUGAACAUUAAAGUCUGUAUCAGUUUUUCCUUUGCUUCCCACUGCACACCUUUGUGUCAACACCUCAGCUGGUGCACAUGGAUGGGAUAACCCAGGUCGGGCCAGAUGCCCGACAAGGGGUCACCUCUGGCCAAGAGCGCUGAGACCUCCCAGCUGAGAAUGAACCUCUUGGUCUGGACAGCAGAUGUAGAGAGAGAUAAAAAUUAAAUAUCAUUGACCAAAAGACACUGCUUUACAAUAUAUAAUCUACACAAAUUUCCAUGGAAACAGAAGCCUCCUACACACUUUCUGGAAAUGUGCAGGGCUUCCCCCAUGAUGUUUGGAGGCAUCUCCAUGGAUACUUUUCCAGAAGCUGAGGGGAAGGGUCCUGUGUAUGCUCCACCAGAAACUGAAUGACAGAGAUGACUUCAGACCAAUACUUCUAAGGAUGAACCCAAUGUACUUGUCCCAGACUGCAUGGUAAGAUGUAUUCCAUUUGCCAUCUGUAUGGCAGUUGUCUUCUGUUAAGUGAGCAAUUGUCCUUAUCUCUUCCACACCCACUCCUCCCUCCAGGGGGACAUCUGCUAUGGAAUGUCACUGCAUGACUGAUAAGAGCUACAGCAUCCCAUUGUGAGAUGCUCGGCCCAGAGGGAGGAGCCAAGCAUUCCAACCUGGAUAUAAUCUUGUGAUUCUGGACACCAGCAUGGCUUUCUCCACUGGAUUUCCCAUAGGAACAGCAGCUGCUUCUUCUUCACUGAUCUUGAGAGGAAGACUACACCCUUUUCUACAGGAUCCCUGCUCCAACAGAACCACACCUGACACUCCAGGAGAACUGCAGCCACAUUUCCAAUUGGACUGCUACCAACACCGUGACCAACAGGGUGUCAGGUUGUGUUCUGACUCUGUCAGUGUUGUUUUUGUUUACUGCAUUCUUUAUUUUAUCCUUUUCUUUUCCUCCCUAUUAAAGAACUGUUAUUUCCUGCUUCAAUAUUUGUUGCCUGAGAGCCCCUUAAUUUGAAAUUGAUAGCAAUUUGGAGGGGGGGUGGGGUAUUCACAUUCUCCAUUUCAGGGGAGCCUCCUGCCUUCCUUAGCAGGCACCUGUAUUUCCAAACCAAGACAGUACUCUUUAUUUUCCCCAGUCAUGCAGUUUUUCUCAUAACUUGUUAUUUUGAUUUGAAAAGUCUUUUCAAGACAGCUUUCAUGUCUCAACAGAGAUGGAAAACUGGUGGCCAGUCUCUUCUUUUUUCCAUAGAAAAUAUUAUCUUAAAGACCAGCCUAGGUACAGUGAACCAUGCCUGGUGAUUGGGAAAUCCACCAGAGGUAUCUCACAUUUCCCUCUUGCCUGUUUGUUGUAUGAGUACAGUAUGAUACAAUUUCAGCCUGUCAGAAUCUUACAAAGAUAAAAACAAAUGCAUAUGCUUGUGUGCAUUUGCAAUAUUGCCAGAUUUUAGGCAGAGGGUAGAAGAGAAACGCAAUGUCAAAAUUUUGAUAAACAGGACUUGUCUGCCAUGGGCGCAGUUGGAAAGAAAGAGAUCAAAAAUCUUGGGCUUGACUUUCAUCCAAGUCUCAUUUGGCAGCAAUGUGUGGCUUCCGUAGAGGCAGAGCAGAGACUGGAAUCCACUACUUGACCAGGCUGACACUUGUUUAUAAGACUCACAACUGCUUUGCGAGCCAACGGUUUCUUAUGGUAAUCAGAGGACUGCUUUAAUUAAAUGGUGUUUUACCAUGCUCCAAAAUUACUUCAGCAUUCCUGGCUAUUCAUUAGAUCCAUUACCAAUGGGAACAUUUUGCUGCUACACAUUCCCUCAUAUCCCUCACAGUUGGUAGACUGCUGCUGCAGGAGGUGUGGCAGGAGAAGAUUGCUUCCUUUCAGCUCUAUUAAAGGUUUUCCAAAUUAAAAUCAAUGAGAAGACAUUUGAAAGAAAGAUGGAGAGUUAAAUAUUUUUUUUUCCUUUUACUUCCUUUUUUAAGCUUCAAGCUGGUAAGUGAUAAUCUGUGCAAACAAGAUAUUAGAAAUUUGGCACAUCCCAUCUACCACAACAUAUUGAUUCCUUCUACAAAAGGCACUAAAUACUGGCAUAAACCAAGAAAUGAUCAGCAGAAUGCAGUUCUUGUGUGACACACAAAAAUCCUGCUAACUGGCACAGCUUCAUAGUACAAUUUUCAGUUACCUAAAAUGGUGGUGAUAAUAGCAGCAAUGGUUAGGAUUUUUACAAGUACCACGUAUACAUACAAAUGUCAGAACAUCUAGAGGACAUGCAAAAUUUCAAGAGCAACAUCACCGAAU